GACGAACGCUGGCGGCGUGCUUAACACAUGCAAGUCGAACGAAGAGCGAUGGAAGCUUGCUUCUAUCAAUCUUAGUGGCGAACGGGUGAGUAACGCGUAAUCAACCUGCCCUUCAGAGGGGGACAACAGUUGGAAACGACUGCUAAUACCGCAUACGAUCUAAUCUCGGCAUCGAGGAUAGAUGAAAGGUGGCCUCUACAUGUAAGCUAUCAUUGAAGGAGGGGAUUGCGUCGGAUUAGCUAGUAGGAGGGGUAACGGCCCACCACGGCGAUGAUCAGUAGCCGGUCUGAGAGGAUGAUCGGCCACAUUGGGACUGAGACACGGCCCAGACUCCUACGGGAGGCAGCAGUGGGGAAUCUUCCGCAAUGGACGAAAGUCUGACGGAGCAACGCCGCGUGAGUGAUGACGGCCUUCGGGUUGUAAAGCUCUGUUAAUCGGGACGAAAGGCCUUCUUGCGAAUAGUGAGAAGGAUUGACGGUACCGGAAUAGAAAGCCACGGCUAACUACGU
rnacentral:rRNA from 1 species